rnacentral:rRNA from 1 species
CAAUGGCAAGACCACUGGCGCACGGGUGAGUAACGCGUAGGCAAUCUACCCCAGGGAGGGGGAUAACCCCGCGAAAGCGGGGCUAAUACCGCAUAAAGCAGUUGGUCCGCAUGGACCUGGCUGCCAAAGGGGUGACUUACCCUGGGAUGAGCCUGCGUCGCAUUAGCUAGUUGGUGGGUAACGGCCCACCAAGGCGAUGAUGCGUAGCUGGUCUGAGAGGAUGAUCAGCCACACUGGCACUGAGACACGGGCCAGACUCC